GACGAACGCUGGCGGCGUGCUUAACACAUGCAAGUCGAACGGAAAGGGCCGGAUUCUGGGGGGUGCUAGAGUGGCGAACGGGUGGGUAACACGUGCGUAACCUGCCUUCGCCUCAGGGAUGACUAAAAGAAACUGAGGACUACAACGGCUACGUGCUACUGCAGCAUGGCGGGGGGUGGAAAGGUUCGGCGGCUGGGGAUGGUCUCGCGGCAUAUCAGCUUGUUGGUGGGGUAGUGGCUUACCAUGGCUUUGACGGGUAGCCGGCCUGGGAGGGUGACCGGCCACAGUGGGACUGAGGAACGGGCCAUACUGCUACGGGCGGCAGCAGUGGGGAAUAGUGCACGAUGGGCGGAGGCCGGAUGCAGCAACGCCGCGUGGGGAAGGACGGCCUUCGGGUUGUAAACCGCUUUCGCCGGUGACGAAGCGUGAUUGACGGUAAUGGGUAAGGAAGCACCGGCUAACUACGUG
rnacentral:rRNA from 1 species